GCCGGGUGUGGUGGCAAACACCUGUAGUCCCAGCUACUCGGGAGGCUGAAGUGGGAGGAUCGUUUGAGCCCGGGAGGUCAAGGCUGCAGUGAGCCAUGAUCAUGCCACUGCACUCUAGCCUGGGCAACCAAGUGAGACCCUGUCUCAA
rnacentral:SRP_RNA from 1 species